UGAUGGCGACCGGCGCACGGGUGAGUAACACGUAUCCAACCUGCCGAUGACUCGGGGAUAGCCUUUCGAAAGAAAGAUUAAUACCCGAUGGCAUAGUUCUUCCGCAUGGUGGAACUAUUAAAGAAUUUCGGUCAUCGAUGGGGAUGCGUUCCAUUAGGUUGUUGGCGGGGUAACGGCCCACCAAGCCUUCGAUGGAUAGGGGUUCUGAGAGGAAGGUCCCCCACAUUGGAACUGAGACACGGUCCAAACUCCUACGGGAGGGCAGCAUG
rnacentral:rRNA from 1 species